AGACUCGCUAGGUUUGCCAAACCAAUUCCCCAUAGGGGUCCUUAGAGACCAAUCCUCUUCCCUCUUUCACUCUCUUUCUCUUUCUCUCUCUCUUACUUUUUCUUCACUUUCCUUAUUCCCUCUUUCAAUGGCUUCCUCAUCUUCCAGAACAAAGUCAAGUGGUCCCGUUCUACGCUCUCUCUCACCCUCCACCAGAUUCUGUUCCUACACCACAUCCAAAACCCCUUUCUCUUCGCCUUCUUCAGCCUUUGCUUCCUCCACAGCCUCCACCUUCUCCUCUCCCUCCUCCACCUUCUUCACCAACACUCGUCACCAAAACUCCCACUCAAACCACCACACUCAUCACCGUGCCGCUUCCCCCACACGUGUCAAUCUAUACUCACCCACGCCUCCUUCCUCUUCCGUCCGCUUCUCGAUCGACCCCCGUUCCAUCUCCCCCAACCGCUCCAUCUCCAACCAGAUCAUCACCAAGAACAGCCGUCCCAUCUCUGGCCACAAGAAAACCUGCAUGUGUUCCCCUACUACACACCCCGGCUCCUUCCGAUGCAGCCUACACAAGAACACUGCCAGCAACAACCACCACGCGGAUUCCUACCCCUCCAAUCGCCUCAAUAUGCGCAGAUCCGCGAUGAAGAACUCGCUUGUGAGGAUCGGAGGCGUCGAGGGUGAGUGGGUGAAACGUGCCCUAACCGCGCUUAUUCGGCCCAGUUCUCAUCAGCAAAGGAGGAGAGCGGCCUUCGAGCCCAGGCCCAGCCGUCUCUCUGUCAUGUCCAAGGCCCAGGAUCUUUGAUUUUUUUUUUCAAUUUAAUUUUACAGGUUCGUUCUCCAUUUUACUGCUAUUGCGGUGGUUUACCUACCCCUAGCGCCCUGAUCUGCCGCCAGAGUUCGAUUCCGGCGAAGCGGUUGGGAGGUAGCGGCGAGUCCUCUCCGGCGAGUUUUGAUUUCGUCGUCUGGAGCAGCAGAUUGGUGAAUUGUCAACUUGGCGCAUUUCCCCAUAGAUCUAUGACACUGGACCCACACACACAAUUGCUAUUUGUUCGUUAAUUUUCCGUCAAUGGCCGCCGUUUCCAUUUGGCUCCUGGGUGGUUCCACCGUUAGGAACCUUUCCGUUACCCGUGAUGCCGUUGACCGUCUGUUACGUUGGUCCAGUUGCUUUACGUGCUGUGUCAGGUUGGUUGUGUAGCUGGACUUUGGUAUUGGGGAAUAUUUGAAUUCUUGUGUCCCAAGUUGGCGUUCAUACAUUUAGAAGAAGAGGCUGAAGUUUUUGACAAAAGUAUCUAGAAACAAACCCUAGCACAAAGGAGGACCAAUUCUAUGAAUUCGGUAACAGGACAAGGAGAAGAACAUUAAAAAAAAGAUAAAAGUUAUACUAAAAAUCCUAUUAUUAUAUUAUAAUUAUAAUAUGAAUAGUGUGUAGAAUGAAACACGCUCUGGUGGGGAUGAAAUCUGAAAUCGGACAAAAAUAAGAAAAAUAAAUAUAAAAACGAAUAAAGGAAUAUUUUUGAUGAAGUUUUAGGUAAAAAUCUAAAUAUAAAAAAUAAAGAAAACUGGAAGUUGGUAACUUUUAUUAAAUUUAAGAAGGUUUGGUCAGGAAAGUUGAAGAAGGUGGAACUUGUUUAUGAAGCAGUGCCAGCUGGCCAUGUGGGGUGCUUUUUAAUUCGUCUCCAGCUUUCACAAUAAUAAUAAUAAUAAUGCACUAUAAUUUUGGCAUUACUUUUAAAUCAAUUUUGAAAACGGCUUUUAAUUAACAAUCAUUGAUAUUAUAUCGAGGUACUCAGUAAAAAAAUUUUGAACCACUCAAUUAAAAAAUGACACUGUAAUAUUGGCGAAUAUUCUUUAUUAUUUUCAAGCAUAUAUUAUUAGAAAAUAUUUAUUGAUGGUUGACUGAAAAAACUAAAAGUUAUUUAGUGGCAGUGACGUUGUAAUGUGGUCAUUCUGGCCAUCUGGAAUGGUAAUGUUAAUUUUAUAAGAAGGAAGGGCACCGAAGUUGCUUACACCUCACGCGUUAUGGUUAUAGAUUAGAUCACACGUUCAUUCAUGCUUACUUUAGUUUUAAGGAAAUAAAUAAAUGGAACGAAAAUAGUGGAUAAAUAAUUAAUGUUUAAUUAUUCAGUAAAGUAAAAUCUGUGGA